AAAACUUUCAACAACGGAUCUCUUGGCUCUGGCAUCGAUGAAGAACGCAGCGAAAUGCGAUAAGUAAUGUGAAUUGCAGAAUUCAGUGAAUCAUCGAAUCUUUGAACGCACAUUGCGCCCGCCAGUAUUCUGGCGGGCAUGCCUGUCCGAGCGUCAU
rnacentral:rRNA from 1 species